UUUAGAGUUAGCUCAGUUGCUAGAGCAUGAGACUCUUAAAUUCAGGGUUGUGGGUUUGAGCCCCACCUUGGGCAAAA